rnacentral:rRNA from 1 species
AACGAACGCUGGCGGCAUGCCUAACACAUGCAAGUCGAACGAGACCUUCGGGUCUAGUGGCGCACGGGUGCGUAACGCGUGGGAACCUGCCCUUAGGUUCGGAAUAACUCCCCGAAAGGGGUGCUAAUACCGGAUAAUGUCUUCGGACCAAAGAUUUAUCGCCUUUGGAUGGGCCCGCGUUGGAUUAGCUAGUUGGUAGGGUAAAAGCCUACCAAGGCGACGAUCCAUAGCUGGUCUGAGAGGAUGAUCAGCCACACUGGGACUGAGACACGGCCCAGACUCCUACGGGGGGCAGCAGGGGGGAAUUUUGGAAAUUGGGGGAAGCCCUAUUCCAGCAAUGCCGGGUGGGGGAUGAAGGCCUUAGGUUUGUAAAGCUUUUUUCCCCGGGAUGAUAAUGACAGUCCCGGGAGAAUAAGCCCCGGCUAACUCCGU